UGUCAGUGUGCAACUUUCUCUCUGGCCUUUUUUUUUACAAGUCGGUAGUGUCCCUGUCCUGCUUUUUUGUUUUUGCAUGUCGGUAGUGUCCCUUGCAUGGUUCCUUCUGUUUCCUACUCAAAACCUUUUCCAAUUGUGUUGCUUUCAGAAUAGGAUCGAUAUGUAUGUAAAAAUAUUCUUGCACCUUGAAACGCUGCAAAAAUAAAUAUAACGUUCUUUACUCCAAGCGGAUCCACCUUUUGACUCCUUGUAGCUAGCUAGCUAGUGCAUGCAUGGAUGCUAGCUAGCUGCACGAUCGAAUUCAAAGUUUACUUGGGGCGAAAGAGAAAGACUCGAUCGAUCACUAUACUAUUACUAUACCCAUGCUACAAGUUGGCAAAUAUACUUCAGUACUAGCCAUUUGUUUCAGAAACUUCCUUCCCUUGGUUCCAAGUUUUAUGUAUUGACUUUGCCGACUCCCACAAUUGGUUGCACGCACAGUUGAACAAGUUGCACAGUAUGCUUAGUUCUUGGAGUAUGUGAUCGAUGGAUGGAUAUUGCUGGUCCUGCAUGCAUGCAUUGGAUUUAUAUCAAUCUCGUCAAAAAAAUUAAAAAAAAUCCGGCCACAUCCCACAUGGGAUCCAUGCGUGCAGCAGCUGACAAACAACUUUUCUAGGCGGAGGAUGCGAUGCGAUCGAUCCGAAUCCUUUAAUUCCUGGGU
rnacentral:lncRNA from 1 species